rnacentral:rRNA from 1 species
GCCGAUUAGGUAGAUGGUGGGGUAACGGCCCACCAUGCCGAUAAUCGGUACAGGUUGUGAGAGCAAGAGGCCUGGAGACGGUAUCUGAGACAAGAUACCGGGCCCUACGGGGCGCAGCAGGCGCGAAACCUUUACACUGCACGACAGUGCGAUAGGGGGACUCCGAGUGUGAGGGCAUAUAGCCCUCGCUUUUCUGGUACCGUAAGGUGGUACAGGAACAAGGACUGGGCAAGACCGGUGCCAGCCGCCGCGGUAAUACCGGCAGUCCAAGUGAUGGCCGAUAUUAUUGGGCCUAAAGCGU